AACAGUCAGAAAGUUGGUAUCAACAGUAGUUCUGGCAGUAACACUCCAACCUUGUGCAAAGGGACAGCAUUCACUCCAGCACUAGGGAGCAACAGCAUUCCUUAGUAGGAGAGUAAUUGUUAAUGGAAUCAUCAGUGGAUGAAGCUUAUAAGAGAGAGAAGGACACAGAGGGGUUGGCAUUGAUAAGAAAAAUACAGAAAGAGGACUAUAUGAAUGAAAGGACAGAAGGCAAAAUCAUCAGAGAAGAAACAAGCCAUAAGCAACUGGGUACCUAGGGACAUAGUGUAUGUUCUAGAGAAAGACAAGUUUCUUUGAGUACCACAAGAUGAAAAAAAAGUAUGAGAUGAGAGACUUGAUAGGUAAAAAACAACAACAAUCCUUCAUAUGACUAAUAUCACUGAAGUUAAAUAAACUUAUUUAUUAGUUUAAUGUGAGAAAUAA